CAGUGCCAUCCUUCGUCUACAGGUUUAUUCCCUGCCCAACUUUCCACUUCUGUAACUGACUGUAACUUCAGUAACCUUUGUAAGGUCAGUACCUCUUGUGGUUGCUCCAGCAAAAGAAAGAAAAAGACCGACAGGCCAGUGUAAACCCAGCUAUCGGCUGAGGUGGCCUGGACCAGGGAGCAGCCCAGCAGACAAACUAGGAACCCACUCUAGACCCCAGUGAUCUCUGCACAGACGCAGAACUGGCUUCAUCCAAGCCUGGAGGGCGGUGUGCUGACCGUCCACUCCGACACUGACCUUUGGUUUGCCAGCCCGGUUGGUAACCAGCCUGAUGUCCUUCACGGUGCCAUGAGCCUUACAGAUCUCUUCGAGUUCCUCUUUAGUGCAGGAAAAGGGUAGGCCUGAGAUAAACAGCUUGUGCUUCUCCAGGGCGGUGCUGUACCUGAACACCUAGGAAGGAAGGAGGGGGAAAACCAACAAUUAGAAGCCCAGCCCAGCACACUGGCCACUCUCUGGCAGGCCCAGCCGGGCAGGCCAGAGCUGAGGCUGGGUGCUGGGAAUGGCUAACUGGGCAUGUCACUUACCACUUCCCUCUAUAGAAUGGCAGCAAUGAAAGUAGCUAUUCUCAGAGUUUGGGUGGGGAUCCCCUAAGGCAGUGGCUCUCAACCUUCCUAAUGCUGCGACCCUUUUAAUACAGCUCCUCAUGUUGUGGUGACCCCCAACCAUAAAAUUAUUUUCGUUGCUACUUCAUAACUGUAAUGUUGCUACUGUUAUGAAUCGUAAUGUAAAUACCUGACAUGCAGGAUGUAUUUUCAUUGUUACAAAUUGAACAUAAAGCAUAGUAAUUACAAAAACAAUAUGUAAUUAUAUAUUUAAUGUGUUUUCCGAUGGUCUUAGGCGACCCCUGUGAAAGUGUCAUUCGACCCCCAAAGGGGUCACGACCCACAGGUUGAGAACCGCUGCCCUAAGGUAAUACAUAAAACAUUUAGCACAGUCCCUUGUCACUCCUAUGCACUCACUGGACCAUCGCCAUUAUUACAAUUCCUCAUUUUAUGAUCAUGUAUCAGCUAAUGCAAGCUCCAAGUGACUGAGCCAUGAAUCAGACCUUAAUUAACCAGCUCAGAACAGUAUACUUAUUCAUGUAUGUUUGCAAUAUUAGUUGCUGCACCAAAAAACAAUAUUUAGUCAGUCUAUAGCAACCCUGCAUGAAAGCCACUCUUUUUCCCACAAACAUACCUUAAAUUCAGGAUUUUUGCUCUUAUCCACACAAGGGGAAACAAACAUUGGCCUCCCGCCUACAUUCUUCCGGUCCAACUCCAGCGCCUGCAGGGCCGACUUCUCCUCCUUGAACUCCACGUAGCAGUAGCCUCGGAAAUCGCCCCGGUUGCUGAAGAUGGGACGGACCUCGGCCACUUCCCCACAGGCCUCAAAGAGCGGCCGCAGCUUCACGUCCGGCUCCUCCAUGCUGUAGGGCAGGUUGCUGACAAAGACGGUGACGCUGUCCUUGCUGCUGUCGUGGGGCACCUUGGGCAUGUCCCUCUUCAGGGCGGCGGCGGCCCUCUCCUUCUGCUUUGAGUGGGGGGUGACGUCUGCAGAUGCGCUUUUCCCAAAGAGCCCCAUUUCCUCUUCCAGGUCUGGUGCUGCUUCUGCAGCUGCAGGAACGCUGUUCUCAAGCUUUCUGCGCUUGGAAGGCUGCUCUACAGGUUGUCGGGAGAAAAGCAGCAACAAUUAACUUUCCUCCUUCACUGAGCCGGUCCAUGUACGCGCUCUUCCCACUGCAGACAGCCAGUCCGCAGCAGCGGCACGUGACCAACACUCACUCCUCCCCGCUGACCUGCAAGCACCACACCUGCCAGGUCCAUCUUGGCCCAGAGGCUUGUCCCACCACGCUCUGGGCUCUGAUGACAUGCGGGUGAGGGGCUAACUCAAGUAGAAACAAGGCGCAACACUGAAACCCAUUUGGCAUUGGACCCCCACUUCCAGACCCUUCCACCAAGUUCCCACUGCUUCCUGAUGAAGUCUAACCCUGCACACUGUAUUCAAGAGCAUCCCUGAGUGGGGUCCGGCCAGCUGGCCUGCCUGCUGCUGCAGCUCACCACCCAUGCACCUGGCCCCCAGCAUGCAUCGGGGCACACACCCAGUCAUUUGCUGCUCAGAGCAAGUGCCAGGCUGUUUUGUGCCUCGUGCUGACACCAGCUCUGUCUGGCUUCCCUUCUUUCCCACUCAACAGUCACUCACUCCUCCCCGAUGCAAGGUGCACACAUCACUCAUGAACUCUUUCUUGCAGGAGCUGACCCACUCAUGCCUCCUUUGACUUCCACCAUAAUUCACAUCUAACCUGCCACAGUCCUGACCACACCACCGCAGUCACCUGGCACGUUUGCCUUAUCUGCUAAACCAGGAGCUGAGGGGCAAUGAGCUACUGUGGUCAUUUCUGAAGGCCCCAAAAAGGUGUGCAAGAAAGGUCAACUGAAUGAUGGCUCCAUUCCCAUUUCCCUCUGGCUGACAGCUUUGUACCAGGAAAAUGAACAGAGUUCCUUAAUGUCUGGAGACAAUUCUUUACCUUGACUGACUUUGCUGAAGUAAAUCUGACCGACACCUGCCCAUUCCUGAAGUGGCAUGGCUGACAGAAACACCAGCUGAAACUCUACUGACUCAAAACCAUAGGUGGGGGCAAGAAGGCAGGUGUCUGUGCAGUGGGCUAGGCCAGUGGUCGGGAAACUGCGGCUCACAAGCCACAUGCGGCUCUUUGGCCCCUUGAGUGUGGCCACGAAGUUUCAAUUGCACUGUACGUGCGCGCCCGCACGUGGUAUUUUGUGGAAGAGCCACACUCAAGGGGCCGCAGUUUGCCGACCACUGGGCUAGGCAAUGGUACGGGAUACUGCACCCUGGGCAGGAAGAAGGGGAUGUCAACACAUGGGACAGGGACAGCUUGGGGUACAGGAGCCCGUGGGGUGAGGACGGCACCACAGAGGGCAGUGGAGGCAGUAGAGCGCAGGUCCCUUGCAGGGCAGUACCUGGCACAGAGGUAGGCAGAGACAGGAAGGGUGAUGGGGUGUCUUGCCAGCACCUGUUCGCAAAUGGUUCAAGAAAAAAAGUUCUUUGUACUGUUUUUUGGGUUUUUUUGCAACUUCUCUGGAAGGUUGAGUUGUUCCAAAGCAAAAUUUCUGAAAAGCUUUACC